AAGGUGUCCAUGAGAUAAGUAGAAUACAACAUGUGAUACUAACUUAUGCAUAAGACAUACGACCUAUAAGAUCAAAAUAACCACUCGUAUACUGAACAUAGGCCGACAAGGCCAUACAAUCUUUUAAGUACAUGACAUCUGUCUACAAGCCUCUAAGAAUACAUAAUUUUUAUAAAGGUCGGGACAGAGUCCCGCCAUACCAAACAAUACACAUCUAACUCAUACUGACCAAACAAGCAACUCCGAAGCAAAUGGAGCGCACCAACAUCUUCCGCUUAGCUGAUAGCCUACUUGGAGGGCUCUCGACCUGUCUAUCAGGACCUAGGGGCAUGAAACACAACGUCCCCAGGAAAAAAGGGACGUCGGUACGAAUAAUGUACUGAGUAUGUAAGGCACAUAAAUAAGUACAUAACAAACAUGGAGGAAAUAUAGAGUAAAUGACUCCACCUGUAAGUCAGAAUAACUUUGUAAAUCAUGAAAUAAUUAUAGUAUCAUGCAUAUGCGUAUGAAGGUCAUGUCGUGCAUAGAUACAUGUUUCAUAACAUCAUCAGCCUCUGAGAGCAUCCCAUCAUAUCAUCUUGGCCACUGUGGGCAAAUACAUCAACAUAUCAGCUGCUCAGGUGGUGGUGCGUAUAUAACGCCAUAACCUUUCCUAUAUCUCAUAUACGCAUAUAUACAUACAUAUAUAUGCGUAUAUAACGCCAUCUGGUCAUGAGUCAAUGUACACAAAUGCAAUGCAAGAAAAGUACGUUAAUAAAAUCUUUCAGAAUACCAUAAGAGCAUUUUGACUUUAAGUAAUAUCAUGAAGUAAACUUUUUUAACUUACGUAUUUUUCUGAGACCCAUGAACAGAGGAUAAAAUAAUAGGACACAUGGGAACUCAAGAACGUAGGCAUUUCUAAUACUUCUAUGAAUCGAGUCAUUUGUGGAAGUUGUGCAUUUACUCGUUCGUUUGUAUCGUAUGGAUCAUGCCAAAAGAAAAAAGGGAUAGUGUUAACAUACCUGAGCCGAUUCUCUUGACAAUCCCUCUAACAUACGUCAAUUACGUCAACACAGAACAAGUCGUACAGA
rnacentral:lncRNA from 1 species